GUGUGACUAGUGUGCACGUUAGAGGUUAACGUGUUUCCUGUUCGUGGGUUUUUGCUGGACUGUUUUAGUCCCCGUGUUUGGGGCAUUUGUUUUUGUGUGCGCCCUGUGUUUUCGUGGGGUGGCUUAUGUUCGCCAUUUGUGCAUUAAAUAGCACUAUCCUGAACUAUCUGCUUCCUGCGCCUGACUUCGUACCCACUACACCCAGAUCAUUACAACCAGUCAAAGGACCAAGACUCAGGAAUCAUCACCAGCAUCAGCCCAACAUAGAGAGGCACUGCACAGGACUAACCUCCCAGACUCAGGACACUGAACAGCCACCAACAGAAGAGAGAAGUGUUCUCUUUCAGACACUACUCAGUCAUUCCUCUACUGUUGUAUGUACACUCUACCAAUUAAAUAAAUUGCUAACAAGUAGCCCACCGAUACAGUUCACCCAACCCUUCAAUGAGGGAAUGCUUCUGAAUUUUGCAUGUGGAUAUGAGUCGUUAUACAGUAGAUUAAGAUUCCUUAGAGACCUUGGCUUUGCAUGUAAAAUCCUAGUGUUUCUGGCAUGAAAUGAUUUGUAUUACUAUCUCCCUCUCUCCGACAAAUAGACAAUGACUUGUAAGUGUUAAUUAAUUGUAAAAAAUAUUUAAAAAGUGAUAUUAUUUUACCUUUUAAUAGGCUGAAAAUAUUGUGUCCCAACUCUCAGGUACUGUAAAUGCUGUACAUACAUUUUGUAAAAAACGUGUCUACAGUGGUUUAUUUGUAUGUAUUACUGUGUUUGUUCUUUCCAAUUCACCCUUUAUAAAACUGAUAUACUCUGUAUAGAGAUGUUUUAAGUAAAAAUAAAUUCC
ensembl:lncRNA